ensembl:lncRNA
GCGAAAAACACGAGCUUUCUUUUCGCAAAUCACACAUUUAUGCGUAAAUCACGUUUUCUCUUUGAGAAUCCAACAUUUAAGUGAAAAUCACGCGUUUUCUCAAAUCCCACAUUUAAGCGAAAGUCACGCGUUUUCUCUUCGCAAAUCCCCCAUUUAACCAGAAAACCAAGCAUUUUCUCUUCGAGAAUCCCCCACUGAACCCGAAUAUCAUGUAUUUACUCAAAUCCCCCAUUUAAGCGAAAAUCACGCAUUUUCUCUUUGCAAAUCCCCCAAUUAACACAAAAAAACACGCAUUUUCUCUUCAGAAAUCCCACAUUUAAGCGAAAAUCACGCGUUUUCUCUUCGAGAAUCCAACAUUUAACCCGAAAACCACGCGUUUUCUCUUCGAGAAUCCCCCAUUUAACCCGAAAAGCAAGCGUUUUCUCUUCGCAAAUCCCCCAUUUAAGCAAAAACACGCAUUUUCUCUUCACAAAUCCGCCGUUCAAGCAAAAAACACGCAUUUUCUUUUCAGGAAUCUUCCAUUUCACCCGAAAAUCUCGCGUUUUCUUUUUGCAAAUCCCCCAUUUAACCCGAAAAUCACGCGUUUUCUCUUUGAGAAUCCAACAUUUAAGCGAAAAUCACGCGUUUUCUCAAAUCCCACAUUUAAGCGAAAGUCACGCGUUUUCUCUUCGCAAAUCCCCCAUUUAACCAGAAAACCAAGCAUUUUCUCUUCGAGAAUCCCCCAUUUCACCCUAAAAACAUGCGUUUUCUCUUCGCAAGUCCUCCAUUUAAGCGAAAAUCACGCGUUUUCUCUUCGCUAAUCCCCCAUUUAACCCGAAAAUCGCACAUUUUCAAUUUGCAAAUCCCUCAUUUAAGCGAAAAACACGCGUUUUCUCUUCACAAAUCCGCCAUUUAAGCAAAAAUCACUCCUUUUCUCUUCAGGAAUCUUCCAUUUAACGAGAAAAUCACGCGUUUUCUCUACACAAAUCCCCCAUUUAUGCGAAAAUCACGCGUUUUCUCUUCGGAAAUCCCCCAUUUAAGUGAAAAUCACGCGUUUUCUCUUCGAGAAUCCAACAUUUAAGCGAAAAUCACACGUUUUCCCUUCGCAAGUCCUCCAAUUAAGUGAAAAUCUCGCGUUUUCUCUUUGAGAAUCGUCAAUUUUAGUGAAAAUCAAGCGUUUUCUCUUUGAGAAUCCACCAUUUAAAUGAAGAUCACGAAUUUUCUCUGCUCAAAUACCCCAUUUAAGCAAAAAUCACGCGUUUUCUCUUCGAGAAUCCCCCAUUUAACCGAAAAUCACGCGUUUUCUUUUCGAGAAUCCCCCAUUUAAGCGAAAAUCACGCGUUUUCUCUUCGCAAAUCCCCCAUUUAACCCGAAAACCAUGCGUUUUCUCUUCGAGAAUCCAACAUUUAACCCGAAAACCACACGUUUUCUCUUCAAGAAUCCCCCAUUUAACCUGAAAAUGAUGCGUUUUCUCUUCGCAAAUCCCCCAUUUACGUGGAAAACACGUCUUUUCUCUUCAAUAACCCCCCAUUUAACCCGAAAAUCAAGCGUUUUCUCUUCGCAAAUCCCCCUUUUUAGCAAAAACACGCAUUUUCU